rnacentral:rRNA from 1 species
CGUCAAAUCAUCAUGCCCCUUAUGUCUUGGGCUACACACGUGCUACAAUGGGCGGUACAAAGGGUUGCGAUGCCGUGAGGCGGAGCCAAUCCCAAAAAGCCGCUCACAGUUCGGAUUGCAGGCUGCAACUCGCCUGCAUGAAGCUGGAAUUGCUAGUAAUCGCGGAUCAGCAUGCCGCGGUGAAUUCGUUCCCGGGCCUU